GGCAUACGGAUACAUCCGUAUUUGUAGAGGUAAGGUGCGCUUUCUAAUUUUAUCAUGGUAUAUAAUUUUGAUGUAAAAUGUUUUUAGGAUUAUCUCAAAAUUUAUUUUUAUAUUUAAUUAUAAAAUUUUAAAUUUUAAAAAUAGUUAAAAUCAAGUAGAUCUAUAAACAAAUGAAAAUCUUAAAAGUGGACGGUGUAGAUAAUAUGAUAUAAAAUGCACUAUUUUUUAGAUUGAAAAUCUUUUUAUUUUUCAUAGUCAUACAUCUCGAUGUGGAGAUGAUCAAUCAAACAAUUUUUCAACAUUAAAACUACAUUUUCCGAUGGAUUUUUGAAGUGCAUCCGAAGCUCUACAUUAUAAAGUUGCAUCCUUAUAUAAACUUUUUCCUAAAAGAUCGGAUCUCUAUGUUUCGAAAUACAUUUUGAAGUCUUUAUUAGAUAAAUGAAAAUUAAAAAUAGAGUCUACAAAAAUAUUUUCUCAAAACAAAAUAUGCAUCUUACAAGGGAAUUUAUUUGUAAAAUUUCCUUUCUUGUUUUUACUUUGGCUCGUUUCCAUGUCAAGCGGAUUCACUGUGGUUAAAAAGUAAUUAAUGGCCAAGCAUUCACACUAGUAAAGUAAAGGAUCAUCGCAAAACCAUAUCAAAAAGAAAAAUUUUGGUACAAAGAAAAACCGUCUAAUCAAACAUUUAGACCUCGGCAAUUAUAGAUCUGGAAAUAAAAAAUUAAGCCUUAAGAUUGUGUAUUGUAACAUAUUAUUUGGGUCAAUCCUUUUUCACAUGUUCAAAAUCUAUACCUUUUUGGAACUUCAAGAGUUUGAAAAAUCAGGGGCAGAAAUAAAUUUUAGUUCCAAUCCAACGCGGAAACAACAUGUUUUUGGCAAAGUUUGGAGUUACGGCUUUAGAUAAAACUUUUUCAUCGUGCUAACCAACAAUAUCGAGAAGAAAUAUACUAGUCAACAAAUCUCAAUUACAAAAGAAACAAUCAAUUUCAAAAGAUUACAAACCUCCAAUGACCAUCUCAAACUCAUAUAAGAUAUUAACAUUUUUAGUUUUGAAAAAUACCGUGUAGUAUUUCAAAAUAAUAUACAUUCUAGGGGAAUGAUUGUUGGGUUUAUGUGGUCAUUAAAGACCUUAUAAGAGCUUGUAAAAGUGUUUUAUAUAGUGAGACAUAAACUUAGUGGGAGUGUGGUCUUCAUGUGGACCAUACUAUGUAAAUGCUAUUUGUCAAUACUCAGACUAGGCUCGAUGUUUUAGACCAGCUGAGUUUGGACAAACCAAAGUAUCUGGGUAUAGAGAUAUCACUGAGAAAGAUUUGCUUGGUUAGCCCUUGAUGAGGUUGGAGUCUGCCUAGAUGAGAGCCGAGAGACUGUGUGACCUUUGUAUGAUGAAUAGCUUUAGAGAUAAGGCUAAAACCUUAUCGUUAUAUUAUCACACGACAUGUACAUAGAUAGACGUAUUGAGAUUUAUCAUUGAGGGUGAAGCAUGUACAAGUACGAGAGAUUACCCUUAUGCACCAUUGAGUCGUAAUUGCAUCAUGGUCUGAGGAACCAUGGUUUUAUCUCUAGGGAAGAACUUGAAAUCCAUAGACUGGGAUUGCGUCCCCUAGUCUAUUGGCUAAUUUUGGUGGUCCAAUCAUGAGCCCUUGCAGUGGACUGUGGAUCAUGAAAACUGCUGGGUCAGAUUGAGAAAAAUAGGUUAAUCGUGGUCCGCAGUUGAAAGUGGAGUGCUCAUGUGCAUUGAUAAAUUCUUAGAUCGGAUUUGAUUCCCAUUAAAAUUAAUUAAUUUAUAUUAUAUGAUUUUUGAAAUGUUUAUUUGAAUUUUUGUGAAUUUUUUGAUAUUUUAUUUUUGUCAUUUGAGUUUAUAAAUUAAAAAAAAUCAUUUUCCAAUGUUUUUAAUAAGGGAAAGUAUAUAAUGAGACCAUUUACCUUUGGUACAAGAUGGGCGCAAUAAAUCUGACCACUGAAUGUGAAUUUGGGUGGCUGCAUUAUUUCAUUGACCAACUCAAAGUUCAAAAGAGUUUUUCUUGAACUUUGUGACAUCCAAGCUAUCAGAUUUCACAUCGGUUGUCUGUAGGUAAUUGUGGUCUCUUUAUUCCAAAGGUAAAUGGUCUCAUUGUAUAUAAUCCCUUUAAAUAAACUAUGAGAUUUAAAAUUUUAAAAUACAAAUUUUAUAUUUUCUAAAUUUAUGUGGGACCCUCCAUAAAAUAUGGGGACCCAUUUACACAUGUGCUAAUUGGGUUGGGGUACAUGAGAGGCACACCCCACACAUAGGGAUUACUUGAUCACCAAAUAAGGUGAUAGUUGUCUCAUGUAAGUUGGCUUUCUAAUUUUAGAUGAAGUCAACAUAAUGAAAUCAAAUAUUUGAAAUAUUUAGUAAGUUUUGUUUAUGAAGAUUGCUUGAUUCAAUAAAUAAGAAAUUGAUAUAUACUAAAAUAGAAAGUAAGAGACUUAUUUUCCUUAUUUAAAGAUUUCACGGGAAUAUGUUUAGAAAAGAGAAGAUAAUAUUUUAACACCUUUAUUUGAAUCUUGAUAGUGGAUCAAAAGUAUGGAUGACUCACAUCUCUCACCCUACAAGUCUCUUUAGAUCGACGGUCAAGAUUUGAUCUUACUAAUUAUGACAAACUCAAAAGCAUAUAAAAUAUAUAAAUAGAGGUUCUCUCACUGCAUAAAUCUCUACACCUCUUUUAUUUUCUCUCUCUAAGAAUUAUCAAUCUGUCCAAGAUCUAUCUAAAAGGGGUACACCCCAACCUAGAGCAUCAUCUCUCUCUCUCUAAGUUUUUUAAGGGGCAUGCCCCAACAUAGCUGAUCUCUCUUGGGUUUGAAAAGGAGCAUGACCCUUUCUUGGAUCGAUUGUUUGCAGGUAGCAAAGGGGAGAAUCCCCUAGCGAGUAGAUCUCUCCCUCUCUCUCUCUCUCUCUUUGAUUUUUAUCUUUUAUUUCUCUAAAGAUCAAUCCAAGGGGCUUGAGCAACGCUAAGACAUUGAGGUCUUUGGUAGUUAAUUCUAGAUCGAGAUCCAUAUGCUAUUAAGAGGGUGUUGCCACAAGUAAGAGAAGCAAGAGACUGAUCAUUGAUCCCGAGCACCAUUAGAAGGAGGUGACUCAGCAUGGGGUGUACUAAGCCCAAUUGAGGUAAUUGUCGACAAUUUUACUUCUUCAAAUUUUAUUUUUUGUU
rnacentral:lncRNA from 1 species